AAUUCGGUUUAGGACAUGAUUUUGGAGUCAAAAGCCCUGCAGUGUGCAAAACGCACGAGCUCAUGUCAAGCAAGGAUAUGUAAAAGACUCAUAUAUCAAUAUCCUAUCCUCUCAGUCUCACAGAAGACAAAGCACAAAGGCAAAAUACAUGUUUCAUAUAACUUUUAGCUCUAUCUACUACACCCAUAAUGCUCCAAAACCUCAAUGAUUUGUCAUUUAAGACCUUAUAAACUAUCAAUGCAGAUGAAGUGUUUUUAUACAAAUUAUAAAACCAGAACUGCACUGCACAGAAUGCAUUAUGUUAAAACCGGUCUUUUAUUUAAAAUAAAGUACAAAUGCAUGUAGUAUGGAUAACAGUAUAAUUUGUUAAAUCCUAUAAGAUUGUGAAAAAAAUCCUGGCUUAUUAAAUUACCGUAGUUUUUAUUCAUCUGUAUUUCUCGUAAUACACAAAAUAUAGGGCAUUUAUUCCAAAAAUAAAAAUGCUCGUAUGGAGUCAACAUUAGUUUUUGGACUAAAAAUCUUACCAUAACUUUAGAGUAAGUUUAUAUUUUACACGUUUCAGGAUAAGUACAUAAAUACUAACCACUGAGAUUGAGACUGUAACGAGCCACUUUGCCUGUGUGGGGUCGUGACUGGCUUAAUUCAACCCGUAGCUCAGCGGUUUAGAAGGUUCUUCAAACCAGGACUCAUCACACUACCCGGUGGUAGUGAUGCGCGAGAUAUUUAUCUUAAACCCUCCCUACCUGGUUGUCUUCCUCGCUAGGAACAACCCCAUUCCUCGGCUUCUUUUCCUUACCACUUCUUCCCCAUUUCCCCUUCACUCUCUCAUUCAUUUAGAAAUAAAACUUAAGCCAUCAUCUUCAUGGUUUUAGGCUUCAUAAAAAAUCCAUAUCGUUCCUAUUUAAAUAACAAAAUAUUUUAUCGAAAUAUUUAAAAUUUAAAGGGCUUUAAUCUUAAUUCAUUAACGCCCGAUGUCUUGACAAAGUUCUAGCCCUUAAAAUUCGGUUUAGUGAAAUUUUAGAACUCAUUUCAGUUCUACGUCAUUUCUUCACCAAGUUCUAACGCGUUAGAACUUCGAUUUAGAACUUUGUUAUAGUUAGAACUUCGAUAAAAUUAGACCCUCAAAUUCGGGGAUCUAGUGCCUUAAAACUCGGUUUAAUUUUAAUUUCGUUUUUUCAACGAGCGAAAUGAAAAUUAAUUGAAUUUCUAAUCAUUUUCGGAAAAUAUAUUAAAAGACAAUAAAAAGCGAAUAACCUACGAAAAUGGAUCUUAUUUUAUAAUGAUUUCCUUUUUAUGGACGAUAUCCUGGAAGAACGGCGUAUUUAUCGAAUGCCAAUACGUGCAACAAUUAACACAUGGGACGACACCGAUUUUUUUCGGCGCUUCCGUUUAACAAAACAAACGUUUUUAACUGUCCUUCAACUAGUGGCAACAUCCGCAACCACGGACUCGUUAUACAUUGGAAGAACAACAAUUGCUGAUUUGUCUGCGUUUCUUGGCUUGUGGAAAUAUGCAACUAACUGUUGCCGAUGUCGUGCAUGUGUCUCCUACGAGCGUUUGUCGUAUACUCCCAAAAGUUUGUAACGCAUUGUUACGUCACCUACACUCUUUAGUCAAAAUGCCGGCAAAUGCAGAAGAACUAAGAGCAGCUGCUGUAGCUUUUUAUGAUAUUGGGCGAUUUCCACGAACAAUUGGAAAAUACAAUUGACGGGUGGAGAAUUGAAUGAGGCUUUUCGAAAUCGGAAAGUUUGGUUCUCGCUUAAUGUGCAAACCAUUUCAACUGCCAAUUUAAAGGUUUUGAAUGUAGUCGCACGUUGGGCAUCUGUGCGACAAGAAUUUGAACAGGGCGGUAUGGACAAUAUAUUCUUGUUGGUGAUUCUGGGUAUGCAAAUACCAGCUAUUUGGCAACCCUUUACACAACAACCCGGAUAUUGCCAAUAAUCAACGGAUGCAAGUUUACCAAUCCCGCAUCAUCCGAACACGUAAUGUAGUUGAACGUCAAUACGGAGUACUAAAACGUCGUUUCCCCGUUUUGGCCUACGGCAUGCGCAUGAACAUUGAAACUAUUCAGAAAAUUAUUACAUCGUGUUGCAUUCUACAUAACAUUUGUAUCGAGAGGGGCGAAAUGAUUCUACCGGAAAAUCCUGACGAUGAGGAGCUUUUGAAAACGGGCAUAGUAGAAGGAGAUAUAGAGAAUGGGCCAGUGGGAGUUGAAGGUGGUCAGCAUCGAAGUCGUCGAUCAGUUCGCGAAGAUAUUUUGGCAACAUUGUGAA